rnacentral:rRNA from 1 species
AGUGAACGCUGGCGGUAGGCCUAACACAUGCAAGUCGAACGGCAGCACAGUAAGAGCUUGCUCUUACGGGUGGCGAGUGGCGGACGGGUGAGGAAUACAUCGGAAUCUACUUUUUCGUGGGGGAUAACGUAGGGAAACUUACGCUAAUACCGCAUACGACCUACGGGUGAAAGCAGGGGAUCUUCGGACCUUGCGCGAUUGAAUGAGCCGAUGUCGGAUUAGCUAGUUGGCAGGGUAAAGGCCCACCAAGGCGACGAUCCGUAGCUGGUCUGAGAGGAUGAUCAGACACACUGGAACUGAGACACGGUCCCGACUCCUACGGGAGGCAGCAGUGGGGAAUAUUGGACAAUGGGCGAAAGCCUGAUCCAGCCAUACCGCGUGGGUGAAGAAGGCCUUCGGGUUGUAAAGCCCUUUUGUUGGGAAAGAAAAGCAGCAGGUUAAUACCCCGCUGUUCUGACGGUACCCAAAGAAUAAGCACCGGCUAACUUCGUG